rnacentral:rRNA from 1 species
CUUGACAAAAUAUAAGAGGUCCAGCCUGCCCAGUGACCUAGUUCAACGGCCGCGGUAUCCUAACCGUGCGAAGGUAGCGUAAUCACUUGUUCUUUAAAUGAGGACUAGUAUGAAUGGCACCACGAGGGUUAAGCUGUCUCCUUUUUCUAAUCAGUGAAACUAAUCUCCCCGUGAAGAAGCGGGGAUUACCCUAUAAGACGAGAAGACCCUAUGGAGCUUAAAACAAAUUAACACCUGCUUCUAUCCAUUCUCCUUCCUGAAUUGACACAUAAAAUAUAGCACUAUUGAUUAAUAGUUUUCGAUUGGGGUGAUCAUGGAGCAAAAACCAACCUCCACGACGAAAAGGAGCACUUCCCUGAGCUAAAAGCUACAACUUUAAGCACUAAAAAAUUAACGCACUUUGACCCAAAUUUUUGAGCAACGAACCAAGUUACCCUAGGGAUAACAGCGCAAUCCAUUUCAAGAGCCCCUAUCGACAAUGGGUUUACGACCUCGAUGUUGGAUCAG